rnacentral:misc_RNA from 1 species
GAUGAAGAUCGUAGCGAAAUGCGAUACGUAAUGUGAAUUGCAAAUUCAGUGAAUCAUCGAGUCUUUGAACGCACAUUGCGCCCCCUGGUAUUCCGGGGGGCAUGCCUGUCCGAGCGUCAUUGCUGCCCUCAAGCACGGCUUGUGUGUUGGGCCCCGUCCUCCGAUCCCGGGGGACGGGCCCGAAAGGCAGCGGCGGCACCGCGUCCGGUCCUCGAGCGUAUGGGGCUUUGUCACCCGCUCUGUAGGCCCGGCCGGCGCUUGCCGAUCAACCCAAAUUUUUAUCCAGGUUGACCUCGGAUCAGGUAGGGAUACCCGCUGAACUUAAGCAUAUCAAUAAGCGGAGGA